ACCUCUUUUCCCUUUUAGCCGCAGCUUUGUGAUUUUUUCGAAAUGCGCCCUCUCUUCCCAUUGUUUUCCGAUUCCUUGAUAAACGAUCACUUCGCUGGUUUUGAAAUCCACUUUCGAUUACGCCAUGGAUGAAACUCAAGCUCAAGCUCAAGCUCCGGCUCAGCCGGUUUGCGCUCAGGAAGCUCUCGAUCUGCUGAAUUGCGUUGCGGAGUCACCGUUCGAUCAAGAGAAAUGCAACCGUCUUCUUCAUUCUUUGCGAGAAUGCGUGCUCAGUAAGAAAGUGAAGAAGUUCUCUCUGGCCGACGAAGAACAGGCAAAACCAUCCAAGAAGAAGGCGUGAAGGAAGUAAUGUGAAGACAUAGCAGGGUUUGUUCAUCUUAAAGCAGGCAGGUUCUGUUGUUAUGUAUUUGGGGUUUCCAUUUCUAGGGGAGAUUGUCUCUUUAAAUGGAACUGACUGAACUAGAGAAUCCCAUGUCGCCUUUCUGUGUCCUAGGAAUUGAAUUCUAUCAAAAUGAUGGCCAUUGAAUUCCUUCGUCGAAUUUGUUCCAAACCAACCCAAUAAACUCUCUUUCUGAAAUCUGAAACCAUUUUGUGUAAUUUUAUAUCGCUCUUUAAAGUUAUUUUCUGCCUAUUGUUUUUUUUUUCCGAGUACAACAAGUGGUGUGGACAUUCGAAUUAUCUUUUGAUCAGAGAUAGGUGUCAUUUGCUAUUGAGCCAAGCUCGUGUAAAUUGAUUCCUCGGGAGAAAAACAUGAUUUUGUUGUGAAACUCUUCAAAAGUUGAUUAUUAGUCA